CGCGGGAGCGCUCUACUAGCCACAGGACACAAGGCCGGCUUCGGCACUUAAUGCCCGCCGACGCCAGAGAUGCGCCUGACACUUUAGGCAGCCUUGCAAAGUAGAGGACACACGGAAGUUCACAGAGAGGUGACUAAUACAACAAUGUAGAGGACCCUGCAGUGUGGAGAGGCAUGAAACUGGAGGUCCAAUGCCAUGAGGUAACCAAGAUGACCAUACAGAAGAUGCAUUGGUGGAGGGGUGAAGAGAUGGUAAAACGGUUUUAGGAAUAAUGUUUCCAAAGGAUCAGGAAGGAAGCAAAACACUGGGCACAGUGGUUCACACCUGUAAUCCCAAUGCAUUGAGAGGCAAUGCACUUGAGCCAAGGAUUUCAAGACCAGCCUGGGCAACAUGGCAAAACCCCAUCUCUACAAAAAUAAAAAUAAA